rnacentral:rRNA from 1 species
UACGUAGGGUGCAAGCGUUGUCCGGAAUUAUUGGGCGUAAAGAGCUCGUAGGCGGUUCGUCGCGUCGGCUGUGAAAACCUGAGGCUCAACCUCAGGCCUGCAGUCGAUACGGGCGGACUUGAGUACUGCAGGGGAGACUGGAAUUCCUGGUGUAGCGGUGAAAUGCGCAGAUAUCAGGCGGAACACCGGUGGCGAAGGCGGCGAUCUGGCCCAACACUGACACUGAGACCCAAAAGCGUGGGGAUCAAACAGG